CUGCUCUCCAGUUCUUUGCGCACCACACUCUGACCCGUGCCGCCAACCGCCUGAUUGGCACAGCACGGCGGCAUCCCAGAGCUUCCGUCGACUGACCGGCGAUCGAUCGCAUACUGCUAGGUUGUGGGUUGGCAAAGCGUGAAGAAAUCAGGGGCGAUAAUUGAUUCAAUUUAAAGACACAACCCGAAUUCAGCUUUUGAAGACAACAGGGGCUCGGUUUUGUUCUCGUAUUGCCCAACAGGCUGCAGUGCAGAAGUAGUACAAGACUAAGCGUAACACAUGAAGAGGAAGAAUAUGGGUUCUACUGAUUUCAGAAGCCUCGCAGAGUUGUCUAUGAUGCCUGUUAAAACAGGGAGGGCUCUGCCGUAUGAGAUUCUUUACAAACUUCGCAAAUUGGUGCUAGUUCUUGCUGUUGCAACAGCCGGUGUUGAGAGGGUCUUUUCAUCAAUAAACUAUAUAAAAAAACAGCUAAGAAGCAAGAGGGGGCAGGAAUACUUGAAUGAUUGUUUGGCCACAUGCAUUGAAAGGGAAUUCUUCUUGCACGUUAAGGAUAAGGACAU